GAGUCGCGCGACUCACAUUGUGGAGUUGAACAAAGCACCUUUACUUGAUUUCACUGUUUUAAAAUAUAGAACCUCAAAGCGAGCUGGGAGAUAUCUCCACUCCAAUGGCGUCUAAUUCGUCCAACAAUUCGAUACUUCCAGUAUCAGUUUCUCCAAGCGCCGAAGAGAAGCAUAGGGAGAGGCUUAUCAGAGGAGGCGAUGAGAAGCUUUUUAGAGGAUCUGCAAUGACCAAAAGAGGAGCCUAUGCUGCUAUCUCUUACAUGUCUUGUGCUGUGCUUUUGGUAAUGUUCAAUAAAGCAGCUCUUUCUUCUUAUAACUUCCCUAGUGUGAAUGUUAUAACACUAUUUCAGAUGAUAAGUUCAUGCUCUUUUCUAUAUGCAUUGAGACGCUGGAAGAUCAUCUCUUUCACUGCUAGUGAAUCUUUACCUAUUUCUCAUGGCAACACUACUUUUGUACCAUUUGAGACGUUGAUGCACACCCUUCCUCUUUCAGUUGCCUAUUUGCUGUACAUGCUAGUUACAAUGAAGUCUGUUCGUGGAGUAAAUGUUCCCAUGUACACCACUCUAAGGCGAACUACAGUGGCAUUUACAAUGAUUAUGGAGUACUUUCUUGCAGGGCAGAGGUAUACGCCUCCUAUUGUUGGGAGUGUUGGAGUGAUUAUUCUCGGUGCAUUCAUUGCGGGAGCUCGUGACUUGUCAUUUGACUUCUAUGGGUAUGCUGUUGUCUUCUUGGCCAACAUUACAACAGCAAUAUAUCUUGCAACUAUAAGCCGUAUUAGGAAAUCCAGUGGCCUUAAUAGCUUUGGUCUUAUGUGGUGCAAUGGAAUUUUAUGUGGACCAGUUUUGCUGUUUUGGGCAUUUAUUCAUGGUGAAUUGGUGAUGACAAUGAAUUUCCCUUAUCUGUUUUCCCCUGGUUUCUUGGCUGUGCUUCUUCUUUCCUGUAUACUGGCUUUCUUCUUGAAUUACAGUAUAUUUCUGAACACUACUCUGAACUCAGCACUCACACAGACAAUUUGUGGUAACCUGAAGGAUCUCUUUACCAUUGGAUUAGGCUGGAUAAUUUUUGGUGGGCUGCCUUUUGAUGUUACAUUCAAGUUAUGAAGUCAGCUUCCAUUGCAAAACUGAACUGAGACAGGCGGUGGAGGCUUUCUUUAGUGAUAGACCACAAAAAGGACCUCCAAAGAUUCUAUGAUGCACGGAAAGUGGCGUUUCUCGUGUCAAAAAAGUUUCGACAUGGAAAAGCCAUGACACGGCAGUGAGACGUUUCCGAGCCACUUUCGGAAUUUUUAAAAGUUGGAAACACGUGUCCUUGCCUUGUCCAGCUAUCGUCGCGCCGUGUCAGAAAGACAAAAGAAGAAGAAAAGGAGGAGGAGGACUUAUCUAGUGGUUGGCAGUGACGGACAACAGCAAUGGCAUAACUGAUUUUGCAGGUACCAGUUAACAACUUCCUUAUGGUACCUCAACAGAAGCACGUUUAACUUGGGAGCUCCUCCCAAAAGCAAUUGCUGAUAGUAAAUGCGCACCCUAUUUCUUUUAAGGUAUUGUAGAGCCUUGCAUCUUACGUGUUGCGAGCAGGCAUAGGGAUUUUGCAAUGCGCCUUUUUGACACAUCGUUCGACCGGGCAAUAAAUUCUCAAAGCACCAUGUCCAUGCAUGGUAUUGGAGUCAAGGUUGAUUGUUGCCUCCAUAUGACCAACAGUCUCAUUGACAAAAGAUAAUAGUUUUGGUUUUGGUAAUAAUGUAAGGAAUUGCAGAAAAUGGUUAUUGUAUAAAUUUCUGUUAUUAGUGGAUGUAUUUGUCCUUUGUUUUUGUUCACUUGAAAAAUGUUCAACAUAAAGAUGGCUGCUUCACCC